GCCAGCAUGGUGCAGUGGUUUAAGCACUGGACAACAAUUCUGGAGACCAGGGUUCAAACCCCUGCUCAGUCA